rnacentral:lncRNA from 1 species
CGCGAACGGCUUCUGGGCGGGGCCGGUCCCUCGGACGAUUGGACCUAGCUUGGCGCGGAAUCCGUGAAUUGCCCGCGGCCCGAGGGUGCAGGUGAUGGGUGCUGACCGACUGGGGAAGCCCGGAGUGUGGGGACUGAGGAGGGGAGUGGCCUGGGGCGCGCUGGAGCCUGCGAGGAAGGCGCCGCCUCGGAUCCCCCGCCCCCCAUUCCCCUUCCCGAAUUCCACCCUCCGGCCCAGCCAUGGCCUCAGUUUCCCCAAACAGGAAAGGGAAGGAGGGUGGGCACCCCGGUCUAACGGUGCCUCUCAGCCUCUGAGACCCAGAACCUUCCUUCUGCAGCUCCCGGACUGACUGGCUCUGCCCUUCCCCAUGGACGACUGGGCACCUCGCUGCCCCCGCUGCUGCCCACUCUGCGACUGUGCCUGUACGUGCCAGCUCCCCGACUGCCAGAGCCUCAACUGUCUCUGCUUCGAGAUCAAGCUCCGAUGAGGACCCAGGGCCCCUGCCCUCUGGGGAGCGGCCAGCCCCCAGGGCCCAUGUGCCCUCCUCCCUGAAGAGCCUUUCCCCACGCCACU